rnacentral:rRNA from 1 species
CCGGAGCUUGCUCCACCGGAAAAAGAGGAGUGGCGAACGGGUGAGUAACACGUGGGUAACCUGCCCAUCAGAAGGGGAUAACACUUGGAAACAGGUGCUAAUACCGUAUAACAAUCGAAACCGCAUGGUUUUGAUUUGAAAGGCGCUUUCGGGUGUCGCUGAUGGAUGGACCCGCGGUGCAUUAGCUAGUUGGUGAGGUAACGGCUCACCAAGGCCACGAUGCAUAGCCGACCUGAGAGGGUGAUCGGCCACAUUGGGACUGAGACACGGCCCAAACUCCUACGGGAGGCAGCAGUAGGGAAUCUUCGGCAAUGGACGAAAGUCUGACCGAGCAACGCCGCGUGAGUGAAGAAGGUUUUCGGAUCGUAAAACUCUGUUGUUAGAGAAGAAYAAGGAUGAGAGUAACUGUUCAUCCCUUGACGGUAUCUAACCAGAAAGCCACGGCUAACUACGUGCCAGCAGCCGCGGUAAUACGUAGGUGGCAAGCGUUGUCCGGAUUUAUUGGGCGUAAAGCGAGCGCAGGCGGUUUCUUAAGUCUGAUGUGAAAGCCCCCGGCUCAACCGGGGAGGGUCAUUGGAAACUGGGAGACUUGAGUGCAGAAGAGGAGAGUGGAAUUCCAUGUGUAGCGGUGAAAUGCGUAGAUAUAUGGAGGAACACCAGUGGCGAA